rnacentral:rRNA from 1 species
ACGAACGCUGGCGGCGUGCCUAAUACCUGCAAGUUGAGCGCUGAAGAUUGGUGCUUGCACCAAUUUGAAGAGCAGCGAACGGGUGAGUAACGCGUGGGGAAUCUGCCUUUGAGCGGGGGACAACAUUUGGAAACGAAUGCUAAUACCGCAUAACAACUUUAAACAUAAGUUUUAAGUUUGAAAGAUGCAAUUGCAUCACUCAAAGAUGAUCCCGCGUUGUAUUAGCUAGUUGGUGAGGUAAAGGCUCACCAAGGCGAUGAUACAUAGCCGACCUGAGAGGGUGAUCGGCCACAUUGGGACUGAGACACGGCCCAAACUCCUACGGGAGGCAGCAGUAGGGAAUCUUCGGCAAUGGACGAAAGUCUGACCGAGCAACGCCGCGUGAGUGAAGAAGGUUUUCGGAUCGUAAAACUCUGUUGGUAGAGAAGAACGUUGGUGAGAGUGGAAAGCUCAUCAAGUGACGGUAACUACCCAGAAAGGGACGGCUAACUACGUG